CUCGGCCCUCUGCGUCUGCCUCCGCACGCGCCCAGGUAGGAGCGUCAAAGAUGCACAGGUGCAUCAUGGGAGGGGCGCCUUCUUCCACAUUCCGUCAUGAAUUCAACGUCCACAUUUAAAUCUGAAGUCAGUGUGGUGCCAGUGUCCAGCUCAAUGACUGAACCCAUGUCAACAUCAUACAUCAACGCCUCUGCAAAUCAACUGGUCUUCAUUUACUGGACCCAUCCAGCCUUCUGUGUGGUCAGAUCCUCCAGCUCCUCCAGGGGGCAUCCCAGGGAGGAACAGGGCUUCCAGAGCAAAGGUUCUAUCCAACAAUGCAGAACCACCGUGUGAGAAGGUCUGAAUCGGAUCACAGGUUUCUCACCAGUCGUUCUCCUUCUCAAAGUAACACACGGAGAUGAGUCGGGCUCCGCUGCCCAGGGCGAACUUGUUCUCCAUCGGCGACCAUUUG